rnacentral:rRNA from 1 species
CCUACGGGAGGCAGCAGUGAGGAAUAUUGGUCAAUGGGCUUACGCCUGAACCAGCCAAGUCGCGUGAGGGAAGACUGCCCUAUGGGUUGUAAACCUCUUUUGUCAGGGAGCAACGCCGGCUACGUGUAGCCGGACUGAGCGUACCUGAAGAAAAAGCAUCGGCUACCUCCGUGCCAGCAGGCGCGGUCAUACGGAGGAUGCGAUCGUUAUCCAGAUUGAUUGGUUUUAAAGGGUGCGUAGGCGGAAUGCCAAGUCAGCGGUAAAAUCGCGGGGCUCAACCUCGCUCCGCCGUUGAAACUGGCGUUCUUGAGUGCGCGAGAGGUAUGCGGAAUUCGUGGUGUAGCGGUGAAAUGCAUAGAUAUCACGCAGAACUCCGAUGGCGAAGGCAGCAUACCGGCGCCCAACUGACGCUGAAGCACGAAAGCGUGGGUAUCGAACAGGAUUAGAUACCCUUGUAGUC